CAAAAAAAUGAAAGACAUGGCCGUAAUCCACAACCCAGUAGUGACAGGCGUCCAGCGACAGUUCGAUUCUACCCGUUCGAUUCCACCUGUCCAUUCAAUGGU
rnacentral:sRNA from 1 species